rnacentral:misc_RNA from 1 species
GAUGAAGAACGCAGCGAAAUGCGAUAAGUAAUGUGAAUUGCAGAAUUCAGUGAAUCAUCGAAUCUUUGAACGCACCUUGCGCUCUUUGGUAUUCCGAAGAGCAUGCCUGUUUGAGUGUCAUGAAAAUAUCAACCUUGACUUGGGUUUUGUGCUCUAGUCUCGGCUUGGAAUUGGGUGCCUGCCGCUUUUACGAGCGGCUCACCUUAAAUGUAUUAGCUGGAUCUGUCUUUGAGACUUGGUUUGACUUGGCGUAAUAAGUAUUUCGCUAAGGACAUUCUUCGGAGUGGCCUCGUUUCUAGGACGCUUGUCCGCUUUCCAAUACAAGUUCCACCUCGUGGACAUGACUUUUUAUUAUCUGGCCUCAAAUCAGGUAGGACUACCCGCUGAACUUAAGCAUAUCAAUAAGCGGAGGA